UGACAGUUGACACGUCGCGUCGUAACCGUGUCCGUCGCGUUGCUCCGUCGCGUUUAGCGAUGACGCUCAAUUGCGAUUCCUAACCUUGGCGCGGCACGUUCAUCGGUGCGGGACGGAGCGCGCGAGUGCGUGACCGCGAGCCCGACUCCGGACGAUCCCGGUCGUUCCGCCGCUGCGCGCGAACGGCGCCGACGUAUCGUUCUUCCGUGACAGCGGGAGGUUAGGAGGCCUCCGUUCCCCGCGAGCGACACGUCGUCCUCUCUCCCGUGGUCUCCUCUUUCCUCGCUCCUCCCGCGAGGCUCGGACACGCGUCCGGCUUGCUCGCGGCUCGAGGAAGCGCGGCCGACGAGGCUCGGGCAUUGAGCCCGGGUGACGCGAUGACCAGGUUGACUCGCCGCGGUCUCUGAUGCCCCAGGAAAUUCAGGCAAUGGCGAAAUUCAGGAUGCUGCCGCGCACGUCGCGCAUCGUCGCCCUCUGCUCGGCCGCGAACUUCAUAAACGCCGCCGACAGGGUCAUCAUGCCCAUCGCCAUCGUCCUGAUGACCGACGAGUUCAAGUGGAGUCUGUACUGGCAGGGAUGGAUACUGUCCGCGUUCGCUUUUGGAUACUUCACUAGUCAGAUCAUUGGCGCGAGUACGGCGAGUCGUUUCGGCUGCAAGACGGUGCUCAUGCUGGCGGUGCUGUUGUGGUCCAUUAGCACGGUCAUCACGCCGUUCCUGGCGCAGUCGGUGCCCCUACUCAUACUCUGCAGGGUGGUUCUGGGACUCGGAGAAGGAUUAGGCCUACCCGUGAUAUUUCAUUUAUUCGCACAUAAUGUUCCUGUGGAAGAGAGAUCGCGCGCUUUUGGUUACCUGGUAGCUGCUGGUUCCGUUGGCCAAGUGGUCGCGUCUGUUAUAUGCCCGCGCUUGCCAUGGCAAACUGGAUUUUACUUGUUCGGGACAAUAGGUAUCGCAUGGACCGUGUUGUGGCUGAUGCUGUAUCAGGAAACCAACUCUCAAGAUGAGAUACCGUUAUUUGUUCCUAAAGUAGCUCAGAAUAGAAGCUUGCGUUGGACCGAGUUCAUUGCUCAUUGGCCCCUGUGGGCUUUGUACAUAGCGCACUUUGCAAUGAACUGGAGCAAUUAUAUAAUAAUGCAGUGGCUGCCAACUUAUUUGGCAAGAAACUUGUCUGCGAACAAGGAGAGUAUUAGUUUCACAGCUGUCCCUUAUAUUGUUAAUUCUCUCAUUGGCAUUGUUGCCGGUCACAGCGCUGACACUUUAAUACAAAAAAGAUGGUCUGUUUUAUCUGUUAGAAGAUUGAUGACAAAUAUAGGCCUAAUAGGACCAGGUGCUUUUCUAUUAGCUUUCUGUGCUGUAGAUAAUCUGCUUGCUGCAGUCAUCUUUGUUUCAAUAUCCAUGGGCCUCUGCGCGUGCAACUCUGCCGGACAUUUAAGUAAUCAUGCGGAUAUAGCUCCGAAUCAUGCGGGAAUUACAUUUGCCGUUUCAAAUACAAUUGCGACAGUACCUGGAAUUCUCUGUGGACCAUUGACAGCCGAAUUAGUGACUGCCUCGCACGGUUGGUGGAUGCCGGUUUUCGUGCUGGCGGCAGCGAUUAAUUUUACCGGGGCUAUAAUAUACCAAAGCCACAGUUCGGCGCUUCCAGUGUUGUGAUAUGCUCUGUCUCUCAUCCAACGAUUCUUUUGUUACCGAGGAGGAAAUGAUCAAGUGUUUGUUGAGGACUGUGCGAAGAUAUCUGUUUGACCUGAAAUCACUGUGAAUGAUUCUCGAUGAAGUAGCUGUGAACGUUUACAAGAAUGUUGGUGUGAUGCGUCAUCGCGUAUCGGCCAGUCGAAGACAUAUCAUAACGCUUUAUUUAUACAUAUACAUUAAGUAAAUUUUUAUUACUUCUUUUGAAGCAGCAAAGUGUGGAUUUGAUUGAUAGUGCCAUAAUUUGACGGACGGAACGGAACUGGUUUGAAGAAACUAAUUGAGAAACAGCAUCUUAGCAUACAGGGGGGAGACGAUCUAUUCGCGUUGUGAGAACCAAGAAAGUAAGAACAAGACUUACGAAAUAUGAUGAUGAAUUUCAAACCAUUUAAAAUAUAAUAAUUUAGAAAUGUUUAAGAAUAAAAGUAUAUAUUAAUGAUA